rnacentral:rRNA from 1 species
UACAGAGGGUGCGAGCGUUAAUCGGAAUUACUGGGCGUAAAGCGCGCGUAGGCGGCUUUGCAAGUCGAGUGUGAAAUCCCCAGGCUUAACUUGGGAACUGCAUUCGAGACUGCAUGGCUAGAGUAUGGGAGAGGGAAGUGGAAUUUCAGGUGUAGCGGUGAAAUGCGUAGAUAUCUGAAGGAACAUCAGUGGCGAAAGCGACUUCCUGGACCAAUACUGACGCUCAUGUGCGAAAGCGUGGGGAGCAAACAGG